rnacentral:rRNA from 1 species
AUUGAACGCUGGCGGCAGGCCUAACACAUGCAAGUCGAGCGGAUGAAGGGAGCUUGCUCCUGGAUUCAGCGGCGGACGGGUGAGUAAUGCCUAGGAAUCUGCCUGGUAGUGGGGGAUAACGUCCGGAAACGGGCGCUAAUACCGCAUACGUCCUGAGGGAGAAAGUGGGGGAUCUUCGGACCUCACGCUAUUAGAUGAGCCUAGGUCGGAUUAGCUAGUUGGUGGGGUAAAGGCCUACCAAGGCGACGAUCCGUAACUGGUCUGAGAGGAUGAUCAGUCACACGGGAACUGGGACACGGUCCAGACUCCUACGGGAGGCAGCAGUGGGGAAUAUUGGACAAUGGGCGAAAGCCUGAUCCAGCCAUGCCGCGUGUGUGAAGAAGGUCUUCGGAUUGUAAAGCACUUUAAGUUGGGAGGAAGGGCAGUAAGUUAAUACCUUGCUGUUUUGACGUUACCAACAGAAUAAGCACCGGCUAACUUCGUG